rnacentral:rRNA from 1 species
AAUAUUAGACAAUGGGCGAACGCCUGAUCCAGCCAGGCCGCGUGUGUGAAGAAGGUCAUCGGAUUGUCCAGCACUUCAAGUUGGGAGGAAGGGUUGUAGGUUACUACCCUGCAAUUUUGACGUUAGCAACAGAAUAAGCACCGGCUAACUUCGUGCCAGCAGCCGCGGUAAUACGAAGGGUGCAAGCGUUAAUCGGAAUUACUGGGAGUAAAGCGCGCGUAGGAGGUUCGUUAAGUUGGAAGUGAAAGCCCAGGGCUUAACCUGGGAAUUGCUUUCAAAACUGACGAGCUAGAGUACAGUAGAGGGUAGUGGAAUUUCCUGUGUAGCGGUGAAAUGCGUAGAUAUAGGAAGGAACAUCAGUGGCGAAGGCGACUACCUGGACUGAUACUGACACUGAGGUGCGAAAGCGUGGGGAGCAAACAGG